CAUUACACAAAUAUGAAGGCGGGCUGGAAUCUCUCGGGGUUACAGCCUUGCUGAAUUAUUCACCCUUGUCUUUUGCGUACUUCUUGUUUCCUUGGUGGGUUCGCCCACCACUAGGACAAACAUAAACCUUUUGUAAUUGCAAUCAGCGUCAGUAACAAAUUAAUAAUUACAACUUUCAACAACGGAUCUCUUGGUUCUGGCAUCGAUGAAGAACGCAGCGAAAUGCGAUAAGUAGUGUGAAUUGCAGAAUUCAGUGAAUCAUCGAAUCUUUGAACGCACAUUGCGCCCUUUGGUAUUCCAAAGGGCAUGCCUGUUCGAGCGUCAUUUGUACCCUCAAGCUUUGCUUGGUGUUGGGCGUCUUGUCUCUAGCUUUGCUGGAGACUCGCCUUAAAGUAAUUGGCAGCCGGCCUACUGGUUUCGGAGCGCAGCACAAGUCGCACUCUCUAUCAGCAAAGGUCUAGCAUCCAUUAAGCCUUUUUUCAACUUUUGACCUCGGAUCAGGUAGGGAUACCCGCUGAACUUAAGCAUAUCAAUAAGCGGAGGAAAU
rnacentral:rRNA from 1 species